GAUGAACGCUGGCGGCGUGCCUAAUACAUGCAAGUCGAGCGAACAGACGAGGAGCUUGCUCCUCUGACGUUAGCGGCGGACGGGUGAGUAACACGUGGAUAACCUACUUAUAAGACGGGGAUAACUUCGGGAAACCGGAUCUAUUACUGGCUAAUAAAUCGAACGGCAGGGUUCAAUGGUUAAAGAGGGUUUGGCUGUCUCUUAUAGAUGGACCCGCGCCGCAUUAGUUAGUUGGUAAGGUAACGGCUUACCAAGGCAACGAUGCGUAGCCGACCUGAGAGGGUGAUCGGCCACACUGGAACUGAGACACGGUCCAGACUCCUACGGGAGGCAGCAGUAGGGAAUAUUCCGCAAUGGGCGAAAGCCUGACGGAGCAACACCGCGUGAGUGAUGAAGGUCUUCGGAUCGUAAAACUCUGUUAUUAGGGAAGAACAAAUGUGUAAGUAACUAUGCACGUCUUGACGGUACCUAAUCAGAAAGCCACGGCUAACUACGUG
rnacentral:rRNA from 1 species